rnacentral:rRNA from 1 species
UGGGGAAUAUUGGACAAUGGGCGCAAGCCUGAUCCAGCCAUGCCGCGUUAGUGAUGAAGGCCCUAGGGUUGUAAAGCUCUUUCACCGGUGAAGAUAAUGACGGUAACCGGAGAAGAAGCCCCGGCUAACUUCGUGCCAGCAGCCGCGGUAAUACGAAGGGGGCUAGCGUUGUUCGGAUUUACUGGGCGUAAAGCGCACGUAGGCGGACUUUUAAGUCAGGGGUGAAAUCCCGGGGCUCAACCCCGGAACUGCCUUUGAUACUGGAAGUCUUGAGUAUGGUAGAGGUGAGUGGAAUUCCGAGUGUAGAGGUGAAAUUCGUAGAUAUUCGGAGGAACACCAGUGGCGAAGGCGGCUCACUGGACCAUUACUGACGCUGAUGUGCGAAAGAGUGGGGAGCAAACAGG